GUAACAAGGUUUCCGUAGGUGAACCUGCGGAAGGAUCAUUAUUGAAAAAUAAACCUGAUGAGUUGCUGCUGGUUUCUCUAGGGAAGCAUUGUGCACACUUGUCAUCUUUAUAUCUCCACCUGUGCAUCUUUUGUAGACCUGGAAUUUUUCUAGGCCUAUGUUUCUUCAUAUACCCCCAAUGUAUGUUAUAGAAUGUAAUAAAAUUGGCCUUUGUUGCCUAUAUAAACCUAUACAACUUUCAGCAACGGAUCUCUUGGCUCUCGCAUCGAUGAAGAACGCAGCGAAAUGCGAUAAGUAAUGUGAAUUGCAGAAUUCAGUGAAUCAUCGAAUCUUUGAACGCACCUUGCGCUCCUUGGUAUUCCGAGGAGCAUGCCUGUUUGAGUGUCAUUAAUAUAUCAACCUUGCUUUGUCGAGUGUUUGGAUGUGGGUUUUGCUGGUCUCUCUCUGAGGGUCGGCUCUCCUAAAAUGCAUUAGCGGAACAAUCAUUGUUCAUUGGUGUGAUAACUAUCUACGCUAUUGACAGUGAAGCAAGUUCAGCUUCUAACACUUUUUUUUUUUCAUUAAUGUGACCUCAAAUCAGGUAGGACUACCCGCUGAACUUAA
rnacentral:rRNA from 1 species